rnacentral:lncRNA from 1 species
CUGAGCAAUUGUUUGAGCAUUUUGCUUAAUAUGUACUACUUCCUCCUAUCCAUCCAUCUAUAAUAAACGACACUUGUUAUGGAUCGGAGGUAGUAUGUAACUAUGUGAGCAUUUUUUUAUUACAGACUUCUUCAAUUUUUUAAACGGAAAUGAAGGUCAGAAAAGAGGGAUCAGCAUGACAGUGGCUUCUUUAAGAAAUUCAGCCCAGAAAAGAGGGAUCAGCAUCCAAAGCAAGGCCAUGGACUAUAGUUUAUAGUAAUCAUGCCCGUCGUCUAUGGUUUUGUUUUUCUUUCUUUCUCUUUUUUUGCCAGAACAAGCAGAAUGCACGGUCUUGUGAGGAACUUCAACCUGGUCAAUAUUACAGCAAAUACUAAGGCCUAUCAAGAUAAAUAUCAAGACUGAUGCAGCAAACUAGGUCGUCCAAGCAAAAUUCUUCAUGAAUGUCAAGCCACCAGAGCAAGCGCGUGGUUUCUUUUUUCACUUUCCUUGGUACAGUUUUUAAAUUCUUCAUGAAAAAUUGUUUUACAUCGUCAACCUACUCCCUCAGUUUCUUUAAGAAUGGCAUAUUAACUUUCAUUAAGAUAAGGCUUU